CGCUGGCGGCGUGCCUAAUACAUGCAAGUCGAACGCUUCUUUUUCCACCGGAGCUUGCUCCACCGGAAAAAGAGGAANUGGCGAACGGGUGAGUAACACGUGGGUAACCUGCCCAUCAGAAGGGGAUAACACUUGGAAACAGGUGCUAAUACCGUAUAACAAUCAAAACCGCAUGGUUUUGAUUUGAAAGGCGCUUUCGGGUGUCGCUGAUGGAUGGACCCGCGGUGCAUUAGCUAGUUGGUGAGGUAACGGCUCACCAAGGCCACGAUGCAUAGCCGACCUGAGAGGGUGAUCGGCCACAUUGGGACUGAGACACGGCCCAAACUCCUACGGGAGGCAGCAGUAGGGAAUCUUCGGCAAUGGACGAAAGUCUGACCGAGCAACGCCGCGUGAGUGAAGAAGGUUUUCGGAUCGUAAAACUCUGUUGUUAGAGAAGAACAAGGAUGAGAGUAACUGUUCAUCCCUUGACGGUAUCUAACCAGAAAGCCACGGCUAACUACGUGCCAGCAGCCGCGGUAAUACGUAGGUGGCAAGCGUUGUCCGGAUUUAUUGGGCGUAAAGCGAGCGCAGGCGGUUUCUUAAGUCUGAUGUGAAAGCCCCCGGCUCAACCGGGGAGGGUCAUUGGAAACUGGGAGACUUGAGUGCAGAAGAGGAGAGUGGAAUUCCAUGUGUAGCGGUGAAAUGCGUAGAUAUAUGGAGGAACACCAGUGGCGAAGGCGGCUCUCUGGUCUGUAACUGACGCUGAAGCUCGAAAGCGUG
rnacentral:rRNA from 1 species